CUACGGGGCGCAGCAGUGGGGAAUAUUGCACAAUGGGCGCAAGCCUGAUGCAGCCAUGCCGCGUGUAUGAAGAAGGCCUUCGGGUUGUAAAGUACUUUCAGCGGGGAGGAAGGGAGUAAAGUUAAUACCUUUGCUCAUUGACGUUACCCGCAGAAGAAGCACCGGCUAACUCCGUGCCAGCAGCCGCGGUAAUACGGAGGGUGCAAGCGUUAAUCGGAAUUACUGGGCGUAAAGCGCACGCAGGCGGUUUGUUAAGUGAGAUGUGAAAUCCCCGGGCUCAACCUGGGAACUGCAUCUGAUACUGGCAAGCUAGAGUCUAGUAGAGGGGGGUAGAAUUCCAGGUGUAGCGGUGAAAUGCGUAGAGAUCUGGAGGAAUACCGGUGGCGAAGGCGGCCCCCUGGACGAAGACUGACGCUCAGGUGCGAAAGCGUGGGGAGCAAACAGGAUUAGAUACCCGCGUAGUC
rnacentral:rRNA from 1 species